rnacentral:lncRNA from 1 species
UUUUGUUUUGAAAUUGUAAUUUUGCUCGGAGUGCAAAAGUUCAAGUAUGGGGGAAUUUGAUCAGUGCAUUUUGAUGCACAUUCUUCUAUAAUUAAACUUAGGAAUUUAUCUAGUUUAUUUUACUUAUUUUAAUAUUUUAUUAUGUUUUUAGAUUUAAGUUCAUGUUUUCCUUUAAUCUAUUUUCGUUUGCUAUUUUCAGUUUUAGCGGCUAUUU